CCUACGGGAGGCAGCAGUGAGGAAUAUUGGUCAAUGGCCGGAAGGCUGAACCAGCCAAGCCGCGUGAAGGACGAAGGUGCCAAGCAUUGUAAACUUCUUUUGUCAAGGGACAAAAUCAGGCUCGAGAGCCUGACCGAGGGUACUUGAAGAAAAAGCAUCGGCUAACUCCGUGCCAGCAGCCGCGGUAAUACGGAGGAUGAGAGCGUUAUCCGGUUGUAUUGGGGUAAAAGGGUGCGUAGGCGGGCUGUAAGGUCAGCGGUAAGAGCCCGGGGCUCAACCCCGGCGAGCCGUUGAAACUGGCUGUCUUGAGAUGUCGAGAGGUAUGCGGAAUGCGCAGUGUAGCGGUGAAAUGCUUAGAUAUUGCGCAGAACUCCGAUUGCGAAGGCAGCAUACCGGCGGCGAUCUGACGCUGAGGCACGAAAGCGUGGGUAUCGAACAGGAUUAGAUACCCGAGUAGUC
rnacentral:rRNA from 1 species